CAGCAGCCACGGUAAUACGUAGGUGGCAAGCGUUGUCCGGAAUUAUUGGGCGUAAAGGGCUCGCAGGCGGUUUCUUAAGUCUGAUGUGAAAGCCCCCGGCUCAACCGGGGAGGGUCAUUGGAAACUGGGAAACUUGAGUGCAGAAGAGGAGAGUGGAAUUCCACGUGUAGCGGUGAUAUGCGUAGAGAUGUGGAGGAACACCAGUGGCGAAGGCGACUCUCUGGUCUGUAACUGACGCUGAGGAGCGAAAGCGUGGGGAGCGAACAGGAUUAGAUACCCGGGUAGUCCCUGUCUCUUAUAC
rnacentral:rRNA from 1 species